rnacentral:lncRNA from 1 species
CAUAUAAUAAACCAUACAUUAUCUUAUCAUUGAGAUAGAACACUCAUUCUUUUUCUUUUCUUUCUUUGCUGAGGAAGAUUCAACCUGAGCUAACAUCUGUGCCAAUCUUCCUCUGCUUUUUGCUUGUGGAUUGCUGCUGCAACAUGGCCACAGACAAGUGGUAUAGAUCCGUGACUGGGAACUAAACCCAGGCCACUGAAGCAGAGAGUGCCGAACUUAAUCACUAGGCCAUGGGGCCGGCCCCAGAGUGCUCAUUCUUCUUCAAGGUGAAUGGCGAAAUAAACUGGCACAGUCAUACCAUGGAAUGCAGCAAUAAAAAUGAGUAAGCUAUUGAUACACACAAGAACUUGGAUGGCUCUUUCAAGGACAUUAUGUGGAGUGUGAAAAGGCAAAUGAUUCACUCAUCUCAGCCUCAUCCUGGACCUAGGAAAUAACCACUUGGCACACAUAUAGGCACAGAGCUUUCGAAGUCAAAUUAUUUUACAUGAUUAUGGAAAGAAGAUUCUCUGCCCUCUGCCCCUCUCAACUUUCACCACUGUACAGAAGUAAUCAUCUUGAAGAAUUUUCCAAUCUUUUCUCAGUUUGAGCGAAUAAUGAAAAUUUUAUCAUAUGCUUCAUACGCAUCAUUUCAAAUCUUCUUGACCUCACCUCAACUCCAACCACUGCUGAAGAAACCAACUCUGUUUCCUGCAGGCACAACUUGACAGCACCUUGUUUCUAAGAUGUGCUUCAUUCUUUUUCUUCCUGCCUUGGGGCUCAGAGAUAAUGCACAAGCAACCUGGAGGUGGGGGAUUUGUUAAACUCUAUAGGGCCAGAUUUGACCAUUGAUAGAUAAUGUUUCCCCCAAUUUUCUCCAUGGAUGAAAGUCUUGGUUGUUCCAUCAAGCAAGCAAGACACACUAGUCAAAGUAUUGGGCUGUGGUUGAAAAAAUUCUGCAUUGAGUGGUGGAAGAUGAAGAAGAUGGAUAUAAAUUCUUCUAAAAGAAACUAGUAAGUUACAGGCAGGAUUAAUAGAGGUCUUAUGUGCAAAAAAAGGGAAGUAAAUUU